CAUCCAGCAAGCUCCUGGGAGAGAGGGAAGAGAAGGGGAGGAGAGAGAAGGGGAUUUCUGGAUUCUUCCUGAACAUUCGUGACCACCCUGGGCAGCAGCCUGACAGAUAAGUAUUCCAACUUACAGUGCCGUCCUCCCCCCCCCCACUGCCCCCCCCCCCCCCCCGCCCUCUCUAGGUCCGUGCACGAAAGCAUAGAAUCUCUCACAAUCCUGUGGGAGGGAAAUUGGCGAGGCCACUUUUCAACCCCUCCGCGUCACAGACCAAGCCCUUGUCCCCAUUAUAUGGGGCCCCAGACAGGGGCGUUCCCACUCCGCUUUUUGGCACGGAAGCCAGCAUUUUGUCAGUUCCGCCGUGAGGACCUUCUGUAGGCUGGAGUUUGGCGACCUCCUCUUGAGUCCCCUUUGACCUGGUGUCAGGAGUGAGAAGGAGACUGGGGACUCCAGGCGGCUCUUCUCAGUUCCGGCCCUUUGUCAUCAUAUUUGUGAGACUUGGCCAGGGCCCCCUUUACCUGGCAGUUGGGCGGGGAGGCCGACACUGUGAUGAUGGGCCACGUUCUCCUCUCCGGGUCUGGACCCGUGUCCUGAGUCUCAGGUGCCUGUAGAGAGCGCUGGGCGCACACUGAGCGGUCCCCUGACUCUCCCGGCACGGGUCUGCCAGCUGAUGAAGAUAGCUUAACUGUCACCAGGAGCAAAACCCGGGACAUGAUUCUGGGUCAGGGUUAGCAGGCUGACGGGGACAGAUGGGGGCAGAAAAAUAACUGAGGGUGAGCUGUAGCCCCCUCCCCCCCCAUUUCCUGUCCACUGCCUCAAACUGUGGGUUAGUAUUGUGCACUCUGGGUGAACGCAGGGCUGGAAGGAUCCCAAGGCUCAGAGAGAGAGAGAGAGAGAGAGAGAGAGAGAGCGGGGGCAGGCUUCCCAUGGCUACACAAGAUGGCAGAGCUGAAUCCGACCUCUGGAUCCCUGACUCUGGUCCCUGCCUCCACUCGGCUGUUGCCAAGCUGACCUUGCCUUACUUUGUCCUGGGUCCCCUUCUGCUGUUGCUGGGGAACAGGGAGGUGGGUGAAGGAGCCCCCCCUUAUCCUGAGGACAUUCUGGGGUGGGAGCAAGGAAGGUGGAAGGGGGAUGUGCCUGGACCCAGCCUCCCUGGCUCUGGGGGCCUUCUCGUUAGCAGAGAUUUCUGGCCAGUUCGGGCGUGGGGAGGGGGCCUGGGUGCAGUUUCCUCCUGCAGCGUGGUGGGCUUUUUUGUCUUCCAGGAUGGGAUCUACACGGAGAAGGAGCGGAGAGCUGGGCCUGGGCUGCCAACAUGUUGUCUGGGUGCAGACAGGUGGCUCAGCCCGGCCCCAUCUCCAGGACUCCUGCCUGGUCUUCCCUUUGGAGCCCUGGUGACUCUGGACUCUGGCCACAGUGACGCAGGGAGCAGCCUUUGGUGGUUUUCUCGGACUCUGGACAAGUCCCCAAAGCCGUCAUCCUUCCACUGA
rnacentral:lncRNA from 1 species